GAUGAACGCUGGCGGCGUGCCUAAUACAUGCAAGUCGAACGGAAGGGCCAGGCGCUUGUGGCGUGGAUGUUUGCGGAACGCGUGUGUAUCACGCGUGUAACCUGUCCCUGUCAGACGGAUAUCUCUUCGAGAAACGGGCUCUAACCGGAGAUGAUAUUUUGCACCACGUGGUUCAAUGGUAAGAUACGGUCUUGCUGUCACGUAUAGCUGGAUCCGCGCUGGAUUGGCUAGUUGGUAAGGUAACGGCUUACCAAGGCAACGAUGCAUAGCCGACCUGAGAGGGUGAUCGGCCACACUGGAAGUGAGACACGGUCCAGACUCCUACGGGAGGAAGCAGUAGGGAAUCUUCAGCAAUGGGCGAAAGCCUGACGGAGCAACGCCGAGUGAGUGAUGAAGGUCGUCGGAUCGUAAAACUCUGUUAUUAGGGAAGAACAUAUGUGUAAGUAACUGUGCACAUCUUGACGGUACCGAAUCAGAAAGCCACGGCUAACUACGUG
rnacentral:rRNA from 1 species